rnacentral:ncRNA from 1 species
UCACGGGAGAGUCCCGCGGUUUCGUGUCGCGGGCGCCGAAGGAGCAACUCCUCUCCGAGAAUCUCUCAGGCACCCGGACCGUGUA